rnacentral:rRNA from 1 species
CCUACGGGUGGCUGCAGUGAGGAAUAUUGGUCAAUGGACGAGAGUCUGAACCAGCCAAGUAGCGUGAAGGAUGACUGCCCUAUGGGUUGUAAACUUCUUUUAUCUGGGAAUAAAAUGUUCCACGUGUGGGAUUUUGUAUGUACCUUAUGAAUAAGGAUCGGCUAACUCCGUGCCAGCAGCCGCGGUAAUACGGAGGAUCCGAGCGUUAUCCGGAUUUAUUGGGUUUAAAGGGGGCGUAGGCGGAUUGUUAAGUCAGUUGUGAAAGUGUGCGGCUCAACCGUAAAAUUGCAGUUGAAACUGGCAGUCUUGAGUACAGUAGAGGUGGGCGGAAUUCGUGGUGUAGCGGUGAAAUGCUUAGAUAUCACGAAGAACUCCGAUUGCGAAGGCAGUUCACUGGACUGCAACUGACACUGAGGCUCGAAAGUGUGGGUAUCAAACAGGAUUAGAUACCCGAGUAGUC